UACGAAGGGGGCUAGCGUUGCUCGGAAUCACUGGGCGUAAAGCGCACGUAGGCGGAUUGUUAAGUCAGGGGUGAAAUCCUGGAGCUCAACUCCAGAACUGCCUUUGAUACUGGCGAUCUCGAGUCCGGGAGAGGUGAGUGGAACUGCGGAGUGAGUGGUGAAAUUCGUAGAUAUUCGCAAGAACACCAGUGGCGAAGGCGGCUCACUGGCCCGGUACUGACGCUGAGGUGCGAAAGCGUGGGGAGCAAACAGG
rnacentral:rRNA from 1 species